GGUACAAACAGAGCGGAUGGUUGCAUGAUGGCCUCUUUCAGGUUUGUCAACUGAAUGUCUACUAGUGUGGCUCAGCAAGUUCCUGUCAUGAUCAGCCCUCUCAAGAAAGUCCUAGAAUGAACCAAAUCAUCAGGGCAUCAUUUCUGGAAUUUGGGCAGAAAAUGACUGAAUAUGAAAGACUGCAGUAGAAGGAAAGCUGGUACUGAGAACAUUUGUCUUCACUCCAGACUAAAGAGAAGCGGGUCUGAGGCCAGAGAUGGAGGAGUCAAUGGUCACCAAAUGCAGCGCUGCAGCCUGAAACUGUGAAGACUGAAUUCCCAAACAGCUGUGUGACUGCACAGAUGUUACGGCCAUAAAAGAAACUUCACAACUGAGAGCCCAUACCUCCAACAACCUUCACAGGAAUCAAUGGACAUCUACGCAAGGUUUUUCUUUUGUUGAGGACCGUCAGAGACUCCAGCCACACGAGCCAUGGAUUGCUCUCAACAUCACCAUCAGACAGACAUUAUCACAGAACCAGCACCAGCAGACUGCAAAACAAGUUCCUUCAACAGGCAAUCAGACUGAACUGAACUCGUACCAGUAACACCACACACACACACACACACACACACACACACACACACACAUACACACACCAGCAGCCUCAUACUGUGUGCACUGCACUCUAUCAGCUACACUGACUGGACUCUGACUCCACUAUUAUUCUGCAACCUGAUAUUCUGUUUGCACUAAUUCAUACUGUACUGAAAGUGAAAGUGACGUGACAUACAGUCAAGUAUGGUGACCCAUACUCAGAAUUUGUGCUCUGCAUUUAACCCAUCCGAAGUGCACACACACAGAGCAGUGAACACACACACACUGUGAACACACACCCGGAGCAGUGGGCAGAGGUAUAUCUACAGUAUACAGUGAUUGUUGUUAAUUGUUUUCAUUUUGUUCUCUCUGUAUAGUAUAGUAUUGCACUAUAUUUUCUACCUGUAUUGAGCUCUUAUGUAUACGGUUUAUAUUUUUGAUACUGUAUAUGUGUUGCAAAUAUAUUCAGUACUUGUCAUGCUGCAGUUUGCAGAAAAGCAUUUUACCACCUGUAUACUUGCAUUCAUGGUAUUGUGAUAAUAAAAUGAUUUGA